rnacentral:rRNA from 1 species
GAUGAACGCUGGCGGCGUGCCUAAUACAUGCAAGUCGAGCGAACAGACGAGGAGCUUGCUCCUUCGACGUUAGCGGCGGACGGGUGAGUAACACGUAGGUAACCUAUCUAUAAGACUGGGAUAACUUCGGGAAACCGGAGCUAAUACCGGAUAAUAUUUCGAACCGCAUGGUUCGAUAGUGAAAGAUGGCUUUGCUAUCACUUAUAGAUGGACCUGCGCCGUAUUAGCUAGUUGGUAAGGUAACGGCUUACCAAGGCAACGAUACGUAGCCGACCUGAGAGGGUGAUCGGCCACACUGGAACUGAGACACGGUCCAGACUCCUACGGGAGGCAGCAGUAGGGAAUCUUCCGCAAUGGGCGAAAGCCUGAUGGAGCAACGCCGCGUGAGUGAUGAAGGUCUUCGGAUCGUAAAACUCUGUUAUUAGGGAAGAACAAAAGUGUAAGUAACUGUGCACGUCUUGACGGUACCUAAUCAGAAAGCCACGGCUAACUACGUG